AUGAAGACAUCAUAAUCCAUUUUUGAAUGAUUAUUCCUCAUCCCGAUUACCCUGAUCAUCCCAUUUUUAUAAUGUUAUCAAAAUGAACACCUUUGUAUCUAUAAGGUAAUUCUCAAUCUUAUAAUCAUCUCUCUCUCUCUCUGUCAUAACCGUUUAAAUAGGUAAAUAUUAUUCAGGAAAUUACUGAGAAAUCUGAAUAACGCAUGACAAUUUUGACUUACUUUUUAUCGCAAGUUAAAUAAAAUGAAAAAAUAUCUUAUAUUCAGUUGACGAAAAGCCUCUAACAAUUAACGUGAAGUUUUUUUGUAUCAUCAACGAUAAUUACGUUCAUUUGUUGGUUUAGUUAAAUUUAGUUUGUUAAUUGUUGUAUCAAAAGUUGAUUAAGUGAAUCAAAUUGUUUCUAAGUUGAUUGCUCACUUCCCAAAUCGGAUAAGUUAUUUUUUUUCAACAGGAAUAAAUCAUCAGAAAAGAUCAAUAUGUUAUCAUCCAGCAGAAAGUUAUUCGGAUUGAGUCAAACAAUCGUUUUAUCGAUGGUCCUUUUAAUCGCAAUUUGGAAAGUUUCAGAAGCCAAGGAACGAAGUAUGUUCUUCAUGAACGGAAGAUAUGGAAGAGUAGAUCCAAAUGUUAGGCGACUUUUUGUAAACAAUCUGAGGAGAGAGAGAUCAGACUCGAACAAUGAACAACAAUCGACAACGGGGAAAACAUUUCCAUAUGAUUGUCGAUUGAAUUCAAAUGGACAAUUGAUCUUGUGUACCGUUUUUCGUGUUCCAGAAAUGAUCGAAGAACAGAAUUGAACAAUUCCAAUCCAAAUCGAACUUAAUCACAAAGUGAUAUAAUUAAACAUCAUCUCACAGCAACUGGAACAUUAAGAGAGAUCAUAAUUUGAAUUCACCAA